CGGAUCUGGGUUCGGAUCCGAAACCCAUUAAGCCCAAUAAAACAAAAUGGGUUUAGCCAAAUUUGACUAAACCCAAGCCCAAUUAGACUGGGCUAAGUCUGGACGAGCCCAAACUAUAAAUUGGGUCAAAUCCGAACCCAAUUAAGCUAGGUUAGUUCCAGCAAACCCAAUUGAAUAUGAAUCAGGCCCAAUUCAAGCCCAAUUCAACUAAUUUGAGAACAAAUUGGCCUCAGGCUGACCCUGACUCAAGCCCAAUCCUUUAAUUAAAAGCCCAAUUGACCUACGUAAACCCAAUUUUGUUCUAAAUCGAGCCCAAAGGCUUCAAAUUAGGUAAAUUGGACAUGAGAUCCAAGCAAGUAAAUUCAUGUUAUGAUAAAUUUAGAAAUUAUGAAUAAAUAGGGAAUAAUGUGGUCCCUAUGUUAUUAAUUUAGGUGAUCAAGGUUUGUCACCCAGACGUAAGAAAUUUGAAAGCGAAUUUCGGUAAGUGACCUGUCUUAAUCUUAUUGUAGAUCAUAUAUCACGUUUUAUAAGAUAAACAAGUACUAUUCAUGCAAUUUAAAUUGUAUAUAUGAUUUGUGAAAAAAGUAAAUAACAUUCUUAAUCUUAUUAUUUUAUGGAUCAUGUAUACGCUUGCUUACAUAAUUUAUAAAGUAUUAUUUAUGCGUUUGAAUUAUGCAUAAGAUUAGUUGUUUGAAAUACUAUUAAUGAGUUUUCACUCUACCUAUGAGUACUAUUUGCGAGAAGUACUACGUACGGGCUCUCAGAUGCUAUGGAUUGGCCCCACCGAUGGGUAAGAAUAAUUGAGCAUAUAGACCCCGCCAGUAGGGGAGAAUAACUGGCUAACGAUCUUUGCUGUGGGAGUUAAAUACAGCCAUAACUAUAAAUCUGAGAGUAUAGAUUUAUAAAACUUUGUUUAUAAAGUAUUAUUUAUACUUUCAAAUAAGGAUCAAGCAAAUAUGCAUGAUUUACCAAAGAUAG
rnacentral:lncRNA from 1 species